rnacentral:rRNA from 1 species
UACGGAAGGCAGCAGUGGGGAAUAUUGGACAAUGGGCGAAAGCCUGAUCCAGCCAUGCCGCAUGAGUGAAGAAGGCCUUCGGGUUGUAAAGCUCUUUUAGUGAGAAAGAUAAUGACGGUACUCACAGAAGAAGUCCUGGCUAACUCCGUGCCAGCAGCCGCGGUAAUACGGAGAGGGCUAGCGUUAUUCGGAAUUAUUGGGCGUAAAGAGCGCGUAGGCUGAUUAGUAGUUAAAAGUGAAAUCCCAAAGCUUAACUUUGGAAUUGCUUUUUAAAACUGCUAGUCUAGAGAUUUGAAAGAGGAUAGAGGAAUUCCUAGUGUAGAGGUGAAAUUCGUAAAUAUUAGGAGGAACACCAGUGGCGAAGGCGUCUAUCUGGUUCAAAUCUGACGCUGAGGCGCGAAGGCGUGGGGAGCAAACAGGGAUUAGAUACC